AUCCCAAACCCUGACAGUUUUGUCAGCUGAAGAUGUUGCAAGACGUGAGAUGCUUGGGCUGAAACGGACAUCAGUGAUCCAUUGACAAUGCUCUUCAAGGGUGGACUUCGCUGUAAAUGACUCUGUGCACCACAAUGUAGCCUGCACAAAGCCAACAGGUUUUUUUUCCCCUUCUGGAAAAUUAUUAUUAUUUUCUUCUAAAAAAAGGAAUAAAAAAGGAGGAAGAGGAGAGAGAGAUUUUUCAUAUGCAGCAACAUUUAGCUUUCCCUCCAUCACUAAGGGUGACAGCAUGCUCAGCUAGUAAGAUAACUUGAACCACCCCAAGUGAAGACGGACUGAAUCUCACUUGCCCACACCAUAAGAGUUAAGAGGAAAGGCUACAAAGGACUAUCCAACUAUUCUAUUGGGAUAAAUCCCUCCAUUGUUUGUAAAAAUGAGGUACCAGAAAAUCACAAAAGUGAAAACAACUAUAGUACAAUCAGAACUUACCUUUUUGUCAUGCCCACCAGUUGCAAGCAAUUUUCCAUCCGAUGAGAAGUGACAACAUUCAACUUUACUUGUACUCGCAGGAAUAGGCCGGAUCUCCGAAAAUGGAAUACCUUUGCUGAUAUCUGCGGAUUGACCAACUCUAUCUCUAAGAUCUGCAGCAUCAUGAGAAAAGAAAGAUUCUACAUUGUCGUCCAGAGUUCUAUCAUCCACAAAACGGUCUAUAUCAGCCAGUUCAUUUGAAGCAGAUGCGAGGGAGCCCAUUCCAUCAGACCCAAACAUAAGCAGAGACUUAGAAGAACCAUUAUUGUGUGGCACAGUGGGAACUGAAAUAGCAUCCCCGGGUGUGUGAGUGGAAGGUGUUGAAGGAGAACUUGGGGAAGGUCCAGUGGUGUUAGCAGUGCCUGAACUAUUGGCAGGGCCUGAAGACGAUCCUGGCUGCUUUCUCUUUCGUCCAAUUUGACUUUUUGAAGCCUGGUCAUUUCCUUGAAAAGUGUUUGCCAUGCUACCAUCCAUUGUCAUGCUGCUAGAACCGAUGAUCUUAUCUUGUUGCUGAAGGCUGUGAUUUGAAUUUUGAGACUGCUGAUUCGCAAGUGGAAUCUGUUGAUACUGUUGCUGCUGUAACUUAAUUAGUAGAUCAGUGUCUCCACGAGGCAAUAUAGGGCUAUUUACUUGCAUUGGUGAUCCAAAGUUACCAAGAACAUCACCAGAAUUUAAAGGGACAUCCUUCCCAAGACCCAAAUUCUGGUUAUUAAGAAGCAUUCUCAGUUUUCUUCGCUCCAAAUCAUUGAUAGAUUGUGAUGACAAGUUUUGCUGAGCUUGAAGGAUCAACUGCUGUUGUAACUGCAAUUUACUGAGUGCCUGAGAGGAUUGCAUCAACCUCGGAUGCUGAAGAAGCCCAAGCUGAUCCACUCCCUAAUACAGUCCCAAGGCAAAUUGGUUUGUUCUAAUUUGCAACUUAAUGCCUUAAUUAGUAUAUAAGAUUUCCUAUUUCUUUAUAAAUUUUCCUUCAAAAAUUUUUUGAUCUAUUAAGCAAUUAGAGGGUCAUAUCAAGCAUGUGUUGCAGAACUUACUGUUAGAGGCCAUCCUUUCAAGGUCAAAUUGCUUCCCCCUUGAUUUGGUCCUAUGUAUAGAUGAGAAUAUAUGUUAGUUCCAACCAACCACUCAUAAAUAGUUUUUUCCCUAUUAUUUUAAUUUCUUGUCAUGGGCAUCACACAUGAUGUCUAAUGAUAUUUAACACAUGAUUUAAUAUGAUGAUUAAACUCAAAAUGUCGACAAAAGCAAACAGCAAAUCAGAGAAUCAAUGGCUUGGAAUAUAUACUAUAGCUUUUAAGUUUCAAACCUAACAUCUAUGUACAUUGAUAUACUUUCUAACUUCAUUGAAGAACACCUAUAAUACAUAAAAGGUAUAAGCACAAAUUUUACUUUCUUACAGGCAUUCAUUUAUAAAAUUAACUAUGCUAUUAGUAAUGAUGUAAGCCUUCCUUAGAAGUUUCUAAACUUCUCCACUACAAAAUUGAUACAUUGCAGCUCACAUUUUGUAUUGUAUUAUCAAAAUAGUUAAAAUUUUAAUAAUAUGCACACAAAUUUAUGUAGUACAUGCCACAGAACUGAAUACUGACCUAGAUUUUGGUUAUCUGAAAGCUAGAAUGAGUAGAAAUUCAGGUAGACAGUUAUGGUUUGUUGAGAAGCAAAAUUAAACAAAAGAAGAUUUCUGAGCUGUUUGCAAUACAAAUUAGGUGCUGUGAACACUAAUGCAUCAACAGUAAAAUAAUGGUUCAGGCUUCACAUCUAAGCUACCCUAGGCAUCACACCGGCAUCACAUCUAAGGUACAAUUGCUUCACACAAUCCAAAGAAGUAUAACUUCUUGUAUUUAUUCAAUAAGGAACCUCCAUCAUAGGCAUUACAAUCAUAAGUAUUAUACAACUCAUAUUAAUCCUAAACAUUCAAGGUAAUGGACUCCAAAACUAGUCCCAAUCCUCUAAGGAUUUGAUCUCCCAAAGAAACCUUGAAGGAAUAAUAUUUAUCCUAAAUCAAUGAGGACCCUAAACUUAAAAAUAGAAAAAUUCAGGACUCCCUUAAACAUCUAGACAUCUUUUACAGCAGAUCCAGAAAAUAUGCAAUUAUCCAUUCCUUCUAAAAACAUAAAGUUGUGUAAGUUUCCUGCUUAGCAAACAUCAAAACACGGUUAGCCUAAGUAAGUUCCCAACUAAGCUUCUGGUUAUCAAACAUGAGCCAAAUACUUCCUACGUGACAUCCAGACAUUAACUUCAAGUCUCUCGAGUCUUUAAUUUUGAAUUUUCUUGAGUUCCUUGUCGUGAACUCCAAUCAAUGAUCCAUCUGUACCAGCGCUCCUGGGAUUUAUCAUGGCAUUGAUCUCACUCUUUAUGUCCUGGGUAGACACAGGAAGCUGCUGAUUCCGGUUUUGAGCUUGCUGCAGAUUUCCUGAGCCCCCAGGAAUACCAUGCAGUGCUUGCCCCGGAGGUUGGCCACCCAAUGCAGCUGCCUUCAACAAUGAGGCAUGAUUUGGAUCCAGAAGCUGGCCCACAUUAUCACUUAAUCUUUGCUUCAUGGACGCUUCAUCCAAGGAAUCCCUCUGAAGUGGAAGCUUUAGUCUGUCCUCAUACAUUUUGGUUGCUAAAGCAUUUGCAGUUGCAGGGUUAUGUCUUGUGACAUCAUUAGCAGCAAGUCCAUUGGCAGAUCCACUUGGAUGUUGGUUCCCAUCUCUUCGUUGUUGUUGUUGUUGUUGUUGUUCCUGUUUGUGUUGUUUUAGUUGAAGUUCCUCAAGUGGUCAUGCAGGAUGUAGUGAAGCAUCCAAUCCAAAGUUGCUUUGUGGUUGGGCACUUUAAGCAGUUAAUCUAAAUAAACAACCAUUUUAUGUUAGAUGUUCUUGAGCAAAUUUGUUAUGUGCUGAAGAUGUUAAUUGCUCUUCGAAGUUGCUUCCUGCCUUUUUGCACGCUA
rnacentral:misc_RNA from 1 species